UACAGAGGGGGCUAGCGUUGUUCGGAAUUACUGGGCGUAAAGGGCGCGUAGGUGGCCUGUUAAGUCGAACGUGAAAUCCCACGGCUCAACCGUGGACGUGCAUCCAAAACUGCGUCGCUGGAGUCUCGGAGAGGAAGGUGGAAUGCUUGGUGUAGAGGUGAAAUUCGUAGAUAUCAAGCAGAACACCUGCGGCGAAGGCGGCCUUCUGGACGAUGACUGACGCUGAGACACGAAAGCGUGGGGAGCAAACAGG
rnacentral:rRNA from 1 species